UACGUAGGUGGCGAGCGUUAUCCGGAUUUACUGGGCGUAAAGGGCGUGCAGGCGGGCGGCCACGUGGUGCAUGAAAUGGCCCGGCUUAACCCGGCAGGGUUAUGCGAGACUGGUCGUCUGGAGUGCGAGAGAGGGGCGUGGAAUUCCGGGUGUAGUGGUGAAAUGCGUAGAGAUCCGGAGGAACCCCAGAGGCGAAGGCGGCGCCCUGGCUCGCAACUGACGCUCAGACACGACAGCAUGGGGAGCGAACGGG
rnacentral:rRNA from 1 species